AUGCACUGUCCCUUGGGUGGCGACCUGCAUUCCCUAGAUCUUGGCACCGCCUCUCCUCGAGGCCCCGCCCCUGACCCGCCCCCUCCCAGAGUGCUUUGUGUCAGCUCUGGCCGAGUGGACAAGUGGACGCAGCUGGCUGCUGGACUUCGGGACUUCUCUCUCUGGAUCCCAUCCUGCCUGCGACACAGGGACAGGAAUGCAGCUGGCAGCAGCCUAUGGGGGCAGUCAGAAUCUGAGGAAAAAUUCUUGGGUUGUGAAGCCGAAGAAGCCUCUGGAAGCCUGUCAUCGGUGAAUGACAAGAAUUGGAAACCAAGGCUGCCAAAGAUCACACAGCUAGUUUAAAUGGUGAAGCUGCAAUUCUUACCCGGGAGCAAGCCAUCAAGGCUGGAGCUGGUGGGUGAGGACAGGAACUAGCGGGAGAUGGAGCUGGAGGCAUGUGGAGGGUCUGGGUCAUGUCCAGCCUUGCAGGCCAUGGGAAAGGAGUGUGGAUUUUAUUCUAUAUGCUUGAGAAACUAUCAAAAAGAGUUAAGCAGGAGAGUGCGUGAUUUAAUGUAUGUGUAUAAAAAGCCAAUGAUGAACUUUAUUUCCAUAAAAAAAUUGUGUUUUAUGGUUAUAAAAACUAAAAUUAUUCGUUUGGAAAAUUCAGAAAAGCAUGAAGUUGAAAACAAAAAUCAUCUCUUAAUUCCACCCUUUGCAGACAAUAGGUAAUCACUGUUAACCUUGGAAUAUAGUAACCUUGGCGUAUUGUUUUCUAGUCAUUGAAAAUAUUUAUAUUUUCACAUAACUGGAAUAAUCACCCUAUACAUAUUGUUCUGCCAACCAGCACUUAAGAAAAGUAGAGUGUCGAGUGGUAGUUUUGUUCCAAGGUUUUUCAGGAAGAAAUGGACAUUAGUUGGGGUGGUGGGAGAACCUGAGGAGUGGGGUUGGGGUAUGGAAAGAAUCCCAUUGUGUUUUCAGGGGAUUAAUCCAACAGGAAGCUGGGUUGUCACAUUGGAAGGCUGCCUUUGAACCACAUGUGAGUUCACUGAAAAUUCCAAUUUCUUUGAGUUCUCCAAGAACCAGACUAGAGCCCACACCUCUUCUUUUCCUGCAGGCCUUGGCCACAAAACCCCAGCUAUCCUAUGCAGCUCCUAAAGUGGAGAGAUUGUCCUUCUGUGAGGUUCUGUGGGCCUCCCCCAUCCUCAUCUUCCCUUCUGCUUUCACAGCAUCAUUAUUCUGGCAUGAGAGGAUGGGUGGGUCAUAGGCUUCAGCCUGCUCCUCUUAUUUACAAUUGCAAUACAUCACCAAUUUUGUGUCAGGCACAGCGAUAAUUCCUUUUUUAUGUAUCAUUUAAAUGUAUCCUGCCCCAUACUCUGAGGCAAGCUCUUUCACUGGUGCCUGCGUGCUCAGUCACUUCAGUCAUAUCCGACUCUUGCAAUGUAUGAGCUGCAGCCCACCAGGCUCCUCUGUCCAUGAGAUUCUCCAGGCAAAAUUACUGGAGUGGGUUGCCAUGCCCUCCUCCGGGCGAUCUUCCUGACCCAGUGAUCGAAUCCACAUCUCCUGCUUUGCAGGCUGAUUUUUUACUGCUGAGCCACUGGGAAAGCCCGUUUCACUGGGGAGGAAACUGAAACUCAAAGAAGUAACAACAGCUAA
ensembl:lncRNA